AAGAGCCCAAACCAACAAGCUUGCUUGUUGGGGUUGUAGGACACUCUAUACGGAGUUACAAAGGACGACAUUAGACGAAUCAUCUGGAAAGAUGAAUCAAAGAAGGUAAUAAUCCUGUAGUCGAAAAUGUUGUCUCUCUUGAGUGGAUCCUGAGUACGACGGAGCACGUGAAAUUCCGUCGGAAUCUGGGAGGACCAUCUCCUAAGGCUAAAUACUCUCUAGUGACCGAUAGUGAACCAGUACCGUGAGGGAAAGGUGAAAAGCACCCCGGAAGGGGAGUGAAAUAGAACCUGAAACCGUGUGCUUACAAGUAGUCAGAGCCCGUUAAUGGGUGAUGGCGUGCCUUUUGUAGAAUGAACCGGCGAGUUACGAUUUGAUGCAAGGUUAAGCAGUAAAUGUGGAGCCGUAGCGAAAGCGAGUCUGAAUAGGGCGUUUAGUAUUUGGUCGUAGACCCGAAACCAGGUGAUCUACCCUUGGUCAGGUUGAAGUUCAGGUAACACUGAAUGGAGGACCGAACCGACUUACGUUGAAAAGUGAGCGGAUGAACUGAGGGUAGCGGAGAAAUUCCAAUCGAACCUGGAGAUAGCUGGUUCUCUCCGAAAUAGCUUUAGGGCUAGCCUCAAGUGAUGAUUAUUGGAGGUAGAGCACUGUUUGGACGAGGGGCCCCUCUCGGGUUACCGAAUUCAGACAAACUCCGAAUGCCAAUUAAUUUAACUUGGGAGUCAGAACAUGGGUGAUAAGGUCCGUGUUCGAAAGGGAAACAGCCCAGACCACCAGCUAAGGUCCCAAAAUAUAUGUUAAGUGGAAAAGGAUGUGGCGUUGCCCAGACAACUAGGAUGUUGGCUUAGAAGCAGCCAUCAUUUAAAGAGUGCGUAAUAGCUCACUAGUCGAGUGACACUGCGCCGAAAAUGUACCGGGGCUAAACAUAUUACCGAAGCUGUGGAUUGUCCUUUGGACAAUGGUAGGAGAGCGUUCUAAGGGCGUUGAAGCAUGAUCGUAAGGACAUGUGGAGCGCUUAGAAGUGAGAAUGCCGGUGUGAGUAGCGAAAGACGGGUGAGAAUCCCGUCCACCGAUUGACUAAGGUUUCCAGAGGAAGGCUCGUCCGCUCUGGGUUAGUCGGGUCCUAAGCUGAGGCCGACAGGCGUAGGCGAUGGAUAACAGGUUGAUAUUCCUGUACCACCUAUAAUCGUUUUAAUCGAUGGGGGGACGCAGUAGGAUAGGCGAAGCGUGCGAUUGGAUUGCACGUCUAAGCAGUAAGGCUGAGUAUUAGGCAAAUCCGGUACUCGUUAAGGCUGAGCUGUGAUGGGGAGAAGACAUUGUGUCUUCGAGUCGUUGAUUUCACACUGCCGAGAAAAGCCUCUAGAUAGAAAAUAGGUGCCCGUACCGCAAACCGACACAGGUAGUCAAGAUGAGAAUUCUAAGGUGAGCGAGCGAACUCUCGUUAAGGAACUCGGCAAAAUGACCCCGUAACUUCGGGAGAAGGGGUGCUCUUUAGGGUUAACGCCCAGAAGAGCCGCAGUGAAUAGGCCCAA
rnacentral:rRNA from 1 species